rfam:Schistosoma haematobium scaffold614_26, whole genome shotgun sequence.
AUCCAGCCGACGAAUUCCGAAUAGGAUGAAACGCGCGUCCUGGAU